UACCGGCGGCUCGAGUGGUGGCCGAUAUUAUUGAGUCUAAAGGGUCCGUAGCCGGCUCCGCAAGUCCCCUGGGAAAUCCAGCGGCCUAACCGUUGGUCGUCCAUGGGAUACUACGUUGCUUGGGACUGGGAGAGGUGGGAGGUACUCGGGGGGUAGGGGUGAAAUCCUGUAAUCCUCCGGGGACCACCGGUGGCGAAGGCGUCCCACCAGAACAGGUCCGACGGUGAGGGACGAAAGCUAGGGGC
rnacentral:rRNA from 1 species